rnacentral:rRNA from 1 species
ACUCAAAGGAAUAGACGGGGGCCCGCACAAGCGGUGGAGCAUGUGGUUUAAUUCGACGCAACGCGAAGAACCUUACCCGGGCUCGAAAUGUUGGGGACACCCGUGGAAACACGGUCUUCUUCCUUCGGGAAGACCCCAGUAUAGGUGCUGCAUGGCUGUCGUCAGCUCGUGUCGUGAGAUGUUGGGUUAAGUCCCGCAACGAGCGCAACCCUUGUCGUUUGUUACCAUCGGGUCAUGCCGGGGACUCAAACGAGACUGCCCGCGACAAGCGGGAGGAAGGCGGGGAUGACGUCAAGUCAUCAUGGCCCUUACGUCCGGGGCUACACACGUGCUACAAUGGCCGGUACAAAGAGACGCAAGACCGCGAGGUGGAGCAAAUCUUGAAAACCGGUCCCAGUUCGGAUUGGAGUCUGCAAUUCGACUCCAUGAAGUUGGAAUCGCUAGUAAUCGCGGAUCAGCACGCCGCGGUGAAUACGUUCCCGGGCCUUGUACACACCGCCCGU